GACGAACGCUGGCGGCGUGCUUAACACAUGCAAGUCGAACGAUGAACUACCAGCUUGCUGGUGGGGAUUAGUGGCGAACGGGUGAGUAACACGUGAGUAACCUGCCCUGGACUCUGGGAUAAUCCCGAGAAAUCGGAGCUAAUACCGGAUAGGACCUUUCCCUGCAUGGGGUUUGGUGGAAAGUUUUUCGGUCUGGGAUGGACUCGCGGCCUAUCAGCUUGUUGGUGAGGUAAUGGCUCACCAAGGCGUCGACGGGUAGCCGGCCUGAGAGGGUGACCGGCCACACUGGGACUGAGACACGGCCCAGACUCCUACGGGAGGCAGCAGUGGGGAAUAUUGCACAAUGGGCGCAAGCCUGAUGCAGCAACGCCGCGUGCGGGAUGACGGCCUUCGGGUUGUAAACCGCUUUUAGUAGGGAAGAAGGGCUUCGGCUUGACGGUACCUGCAGAAAAAGGACCGGCUAACUACGUGCCAGCAGCCGCCGUAAAAC
rnacentral:rRNA from 1 species